rnacentral:rRNA from 1 species
GCGAAUGCUGACAUAAGUAACGAUAAAGCGGGUGAAAAGCCCGCUCGCCGGAAGACCAAGGGUUCCUGUCCAACGUUAAUCGGGGCAGGGUGAGUCGACCCCUAAGGCGAGGCCGAAAGGCGUAGUCGAUGGGAAACAGGUUAAUAUUCCUGUACUUGGUGUUACUGCGAAGGGGGGACGGAGAAGGCUAUGUUGGCCGGGCGACGGUUGUCCCGGUUUAAGCGUGUAGGCUGGUUUUCCAGGCAAAUCCGGAAAAUCAAGGCUGAGGCGUGAUGACGAGGCACUACGGUGCUGAAGCAACAAAUGCCCUGCUUCCAGGAAAAGCCUCUAAGCAUCAGGUAACAUCAAAUCGUACCCCAAACCGACACAGGUGGUCAGGUAGAGAAUACCAAGGCGCUUGAGAGAACUCGGGUGAAGGAACUAGGCAAAAUGGUGCCGUAACUUCGGGAGAAGGCACGCUGAUAUGUAGGUGAAGUCCCUCGCGGAUGGAGCUGAAAUCAGUCGAAGAUACCAGCUGGCUGCAACUGUUUAUUAAAAACACAGCACUGUGCAAACACGAAAGUGGACGUAUACGGUGUGACGCCUGCCCGGUGCCGGAAGGUUAAUUGAUGGGGUUAGCGGUAACGCGAAGCUCUUGAUCGAAGCCCCGGUAAACGGCGGCCGUAACUAUAACGGUCCUAAGGUAGCGAAAUUCCUUGUCGGGUAAGUUCCGACCUGCACGAAUGGCGUAAUGAUGGCCAGGCUGUCUCCACCCGAGACUCAGUGAAAUUGAACUCGCUGUGAAGAUGCAGUGUACCCGCGGCAAGACGGAAAGACCCCGUGAACCUUUACUAUAGCUUGACACUGAACAUUGAGCCUUGAUGUGUAGGAUAGGUGGGAGGCUUUGAAGUGUGGACGCCAGUCUGCAUGGAGCCGGCCUUGAAAUACCACCCUUUAAUGUUUGAUGUUCUAACGUUGGCCCCUGAUCGGGGUUGCGGACAGUGUCUGGUGGGUAGUUUGACUGGGGCGGUCUCCUCCUAAAGAGUAACGGAGGAGCACGAAGGUUGGCUAAUCCUGGUCGGACAUCAGGAGGUUAGUGCAAUGGCAUAAGCCAGCUUGACUGCGAGCGUGACGGCGCGAGCAGGUGCGAAAGCAGGUCAUAGUGAUCCGGUGGUUCUGAAUGGAAGGGCCAUCGCUCAACGGAUAAAAGGUACUCCGGGGAUAACAGGCUGAUACCGCCCAAGAGUUCAUAUCGACGGCGGUGUUUGGCACCUCGAUGUCGGCUCAUCACAUCCUGGGGCUGAAGUAGGUCCCAAGGGUAUGGCUGUUCGCCAUUUAAAGUGGUACGCGAGCUGGGUUUAGAACGUCGUGAGACAGUUCGGUCCCUAUCUGCCGUGGGCGCUGGAGAACUGAGGGGGGCUGCUCCUAGUACGAGAGGACCGGAGUGGACGCAUCACUGGUGUUCGGGUUGUCAUGCCAAUGGCACUGCCCGGUAGCUAAAUGCGGAAGAGAUAAGUGCUGAAAGCAUCUAAGCACGAAACUUGCCCCGAGAUGAGUUCUCCCUGACUCCUUGAGAGUCCUGAAGGAACGUUGAAGACGACGACGUUGAUAGGCCGGGUGUGUAAGCGCAGCGAUGCGUUGAGCUAACCGGUACUAAUGAACCGUGAGGCUUAACCUU